UAGCCGUAAACGAUACUCGCUAGGUGUCGGCCACGGUGCGACCGUUGUCGGUGCCGUAGGGAAGCCGUGAAGCGAGCCACCUGGGAAGUACGGCCGCAAGGCUGAAACUUAAAGGAAUUGGCGGGGGGAGCACCACAACGGGUGGAGCCUGCGGUUUAAUUGGACUCAACGCCGGGAAGCUCACCGGAUAAGACAGCGGAAUGAUUGCCGGGCUGAAGACCCUGCUAGAUUUUCAGAGAGGUGGUGCAUGGCGUCAAUGACU
rnacentral:rRNA from 1 species